UCUCCCUUUUAGGGUUAAAACGUCAACAUUUUAGACGAGUCUCCUAUUUUUAGGGACUGGUGUUAUUUUUUGACGUGUCUUCUAUUUUUAGGGACC
rnacentral:pre_miRNA from 1 species